GCCGGGCGCUGUGGCGGGCGCCUGUAGUCCUAGCUACUCAGGAGGCUGAGGCAGGAGAAUGGCGUGAACCCAGGAGGCGGAGCUUGCAGUGAGCCGAGAUCGCGCCACUGCACUCCAGCCUGGGCAACAGCGUGAGACUCUGUCUCAA
rnacentral:sRNA from 1 species